GGAAGAAGGGCUUGGCCACUUGGAUCGUGAGAUGACUAUUCGGAAAACAGAGUAGGUCAUGGUGGAUGAAGAAAACAUUAACCGACAGACUUUUCGGUUGCUGAUCAAAUAUAAAAUAUGUAAUUUUCUGGUUCAGUAAUAAACGAGCAAUUCAACUUAUAGCUGGGGCAGCCUGAUUUCCUCCUACACACGCCCGCUAGCAGCAGCAGUUACGACCAGGUGGUUGCGGAAGGUGAUAGGUGUGGUGGUCGGCGGUGCCUGGGCUAUUGAUGUUCGAUUUGAGAGGAAGAAGAGAGAUUGGCUGCUGAUUUUGGGAGGAAGAAGAGAGAUUGAGCGUGCUGCUGCUGCCGUGUGUGGUCUUGGGAGAGGAAUAAAAGAGAGUAGUAGAGAGCUUUAGAGAGAUAGCAAAGGAUUGAGAGGCUACUGCUAUUUGUAUUACUGUCGAUGCUUGCACAAUGCCACUGCUUAUCAUACUGGGUUAUUUAUCUUUGAAAAAAAAUCAUUUUCUCCCUUCAAUAGUUUAGUCAUGACUUAGUUUUACUUACU